UUUCCGUAGGUGAACCUGCGGAAGGAUCAUUACAGAGUUCAUGCCCGAAAGGGUAGACCUACCACCCUUCUGUAUUAUUACUUUGUUGCUUUGGCGAGGGCAAGUUCGCCAGAGAAUACAAAAACUCUUUUUAUUAAUGUCGUCUGAGUACUAAAUAAUAGUUAAAACUUUCAACAACGGAUCUCUUGGUUCUG
rnacentral:misc_RNA from 1 species